rnacentral:lncRNA from 1 species
CCACUUUUUGUUUGCUGAUUGUGUGCAAGUGUGCAGUCAGUUUUGCUGACGUUCAUACAUGAGAGAUUCUGAAACAUGGGAGUAAUUUGAUGCAUACGCUUUGCUUGCUACAGUAAAUUACAGCCUUUCCUUGCCCAGGAGCUGAGCUAUAGUUUUUCUUCUGUUUCACAGUGUGAUACGUUGCCUUAAUUGCACCAUCUAUUGUGACAUUUUUGAUGCUUUUCAUUUUUGUCUUUCAUUGUGGGUGCUCCAACACGAGUAAAUGACACUACAGCAUUCAGAAAGCUUGUCAGGCUGUGUUCAGGUCAGCACUUCGUCAGUGACUGCUGUGAAAAAUAGUCAAUGAACAUCAAAGUUAUAGGACCUUGAAAAGGCAGUCAGGAGGAGCAGCCUGGAAAUCUGCAGAACAGAAGCACCUAAAGAGUUGCUUUGGUUUCCAGCAAAGGGCUUUGAACUCUGCUGGCCCUUCUCCAGAGCUGUGAUGUUGCCUGCACCGAUGCCUGCAGACUGGGGGGCUGGUAAAAUGCUCUGUACAGAGCGUACAGCUUCUAUCAGUGAAAGGCGGAACCUGACAGUGGACCCACCACAGGGAUGAAUGUCAUCUUUACAGAGGAAGAAAAAUAACAGGAAGAAUUACAUCGUGCGGCAGUUUUUCAUUGCGGUGAAUUUAAGGUGGCUGUCAGGCAGACACCGAGCCAAGCUGAUGGCUUUCUGCUUGCAGAGGGAACAGCUCACAGGUAGCCUUACAGAUUCAGCAGGACAUAGUGCUGGAGACUGUGGGUCCAGCCUCAGCUCAGGGAAAGAUGUUUCCUAUAUCCCAUCUGACUCUGCCAAGCAUUUGGUUACUAACGUGGUCUGUGAGAGCAUCUCCUUUCCUCAUUGCUGGCAAGAGCUUUUGUGUACUGGUUCCUGCUACUUCUGGAAGCAAGGUUACCCAGUAAAGCUGAUACCGUUCUGCCAGUUCUCUCAUAGCUGCAAGAUUGUCUACCAUGCUUUGAACUCAGGAAAUCUUGUUUUUGAAACAUGCAACUCAGCAGUCAUGGAAGAGAGAAAGCUGUGGAAGAGGAAUAGAGGAGGGCUGCCCACCUCCUCCUUCAGAUGGGAAAGUCCUCACAGUUGUUUUCCCGCCAACCACGUCUGAACAUUGGAAUCUGCCCCAAGUUUCUGCGUGAGUUGCUAUUUUAUAUACUGGGAGUCGUCAUCCCGGGAGGCAUGAACAAGAAUCUGGUGACAGGAGCAUCAUGAAGUUCAAGACUUCAAAUGUGAAGUCCUGCACCCUGUAAAUAGUGACACCAUGCAACAGUACAAACUGGGGACAGGCUGACUAGAAACUAGCUUUACAUAAGAGGACCUAGAGGUCCUGAUGGACAUCGAGCUGAAUGUGAGUCAAGAAUGUGCCACUGCGUGAAUGAGAGCCAAGCACAAAAGACACUGGGCUGCAUUAGUAACAGCAGAGGCAGUGGGUUGAGAUAGCCAGCAGAGGUGAAUAUUGCACCCCUCUGAGGAGAAGAAAAUCCCCCAGGCAAGCAGAGAGCAAGAUUGACAUUUCUCAUUAUUUCUGUACUCCAGGUAAUAUAUAUAAACUUUUUUUUUUUCCCUGGGAGCCCUUCAAACCAAGCAAAUGAAGACAUUUCUUCUGUACAGUCAACGACACUCCAAAAGGUCUGAUCUGCUCUCUGAAAUUUCCCCUGAUUUUGCUGUGGCCCUCAGGCUGUAACUCACUGAUCUCAGGCACACAACGUGGCUAUCCCAAAAUCUCAAGUUUUGCUUUGACCAAGUAUUUACCAUAACGAAUAGAAACUAUUCCUUGAACAACAACGUCUUUUACCACUUGCAAAUCUCCAUCUAAUCUGACUGUCCUUAUCUAUAAGCGGAGAGAAUGAAAAGCAGAGAUAUAAAACCCAAAGGUUAAGUACAUAUUUUUUGCAACUGUUUAAUGUUCAGCAUUCUCAUGCUGUGAAGAACAUGCAAAGUUUCUGCAUUCUUUCUAUUGGGUGCAUUCGUUACCAAAGCAGACUUGCUAUCGGUUUGGGAUGUAAACUGACCUGGUGUCACUGCAAUUUGCCUGUUUUCAUGUGUGUGCUUGGUUUGCUUUUGGCAUACAGGCACUUACGGCUGAUCCAAAGUCAUUCAAAAGCUCAGCAGAUGCUUCUGUGAAUCUCUUCUAUGUUUAGAAAUGGAAAUGAAGCACGAAACCAGGUGCUUUCUGUGCUGUCCUGAAUUAUGGAUUUUAUCCUUCAUGUUAUAACACAGUUUACUUGUCUUCUGGUUUAUCGUUUUUGAAGAAGGUAUGAGGUAAAAUACCAAGAUCUCCCUGACAAAGUCUUGUAGGACUCCAGGAACUGCUGUCUUCUGUACGGGUCCUCUCCAAUUCAACAGCACCCUUUCAGCUGACAUCAAAAGGGGUGAGUGAGGGCUGUGUGGAGUACAAGGAGCCAACACUGCUCAUAAGACAGAAAUUCGCCACUGAUUUUGUGAAAUUCUCUGUACUGGAUUAUGCAGGAGAUCAGAAAAGAAGAUUUUCGGAGUCUCUUCCUCUAACUCUUGCAACUUACUCUUGGGAACUGGUAUUAUCAGGCGAGUAUGGACUGGAUGAUCUCCAGAGGUCCCUUCCAACCACUGCGAUUCUGUGAUUCUGAUUCUAAUCUCACAGAGAAUAUGGGACUAAUAUUUCUAAGUUUAAGAAUCAGAGGGUUUUUUUCAAACCAUUUUAGGAGGAGGCAAGAAACACUUUGGUUUAGCUUUCUGGUCUGAAAAUAUCAAUAGUUUGUUGCAUUUUUGAAAAGAGCCACAGGAAUCAUAGAUCAAAGAACCAUAGAAUGGCUUGAGUUGGAAGAGACCACAAAGCCCACGCAGCCCCAACCCUCUGCCAUGGGCAGGGCUGCCCCCCACCAGCUCAAGCUGCCCAGGACCCCAUCCAACCUGGCCCUGAGUGCCUCCAGGGAUGGGGCACCCACAGCUUCUCUGGGCAGCUGUGCCAGGGCCUCACCGCCCUCUGAGUAAAGAUUUUCUGCCUAACAUCUAACCCAAAUCUCCCCACUUUUAGUUUAAAGCCAUUUUCCCUUGUCCUAUCGCUAUUAGACUGUGUGAGAUGUUGGUUCUCCUCCUGUUUAUAAACUCCUCUCAAGUACUGGAAGGCCACAGAGAGGUGUCCCCGGAGCCUUCUCUUCUCCAGGCUGAACAAGCCCAGCUCCCUCAGCCUUUCUUCACAGGAGAGGUGCUCCAGCCCUCUGAGCAUCUUCGUGGCCCUCAUCUAGACAUUCUCCAACAGCUCCACAUCUUUCUUGUGCUGGAGGCCCCAGGUCUGAAUGCAGUACUGGGCCUCAUGAAGGCAGAGCAGAGGGGAAUAAUCACCUUCCUCUCCCUGCUGGCCACCCCUCUGUUGAUGCUGACCAGGAUACUGUUGGCCUUCUGGGCUGCAAGAGCACACUGGUGGCUCAUGUCAAGCCUAUUAUCUAUCAGAGACCGUGGGUCCUCCUCCGCGGGGCUGCCCUCAAUGAGUUCUUCUCCCAGACUGUACACGUAUCAGGAAUUACCCUGACCUGAGUGCAACACCUUGGUCAAGCCAUUGCUCUCAUGGCUACGGGUUUGUUGUUUGGACACAAUAAUGUACAGAUGGGCUUUGCAUUUAUCAAGAAUAAUCACCAGCUGAGAUGCUGAGUGGAGGAAAACUAUUAUCGUCGUGACUGACCAGAGUCUGGCAGCAUUCUUUGUUGUUUGUGGCUUAUUCUUGAAAUUAGAUUUCAGAGACUAAACUGACCUCUCUGUAAGCUGAGCUCAGAAGAUGAAGGCCAAUAAUGGGAGAAGGAGCACAUCUCAAGGCAAAAGGUUUAACCGUCUGCCUCUUGGUAACCUGCAGGAAAUCCACCAAACAUCAUUUCAUUUGCAGUGAUUAAAGGUGAACAAUAUAGCUCUGUGUAGGAUUUCUUGCAUUUGAGACACGUUUCAUUAAUUAUUACCUCUUCAUUUAUAUUUUCUACUCUAGAAUAAGUCUUGCUGUGGGAAGCGGGGUGUAGGAAACACGAGGUGGUGCUUUUCAGCGACAAACCUUCAACUAUGGCAUUGUUUUUCAUACUUGCAAUAUUCAGCCACAGUAUCCACAAGGGAGGUACCACAAUUGCAAAAUGCUAUUUAAAAUAAUGGCGUGUUUUAGAAGAGCUUCCAAUGUCUCUCAUAAUAUUUGCAGAUAAUCUCAGUUUGCCAAUCUGUCAAGUAAUUAUUCUCCAUCUGUGAUAUCCAGUGAUAACCAGUUAGACUUUCAAAUUCAUUUUUACCAACAUUGGUGAGCUCAUCACUCGCCUGUUGAAAGAACAGAACACAAACAUUAAAAAAGUGCAAAGGCAAUGUAUUUAUUAUUGUAGCAUGCAGUCAAACCUGCAUAAUAACUACUAAUUAAAGUGUUAAGGCCUUAAUUUUAGAAAGACAGAGAGGCUUUCUGCUUUUGUACAGUACCAUACACACAUCAUUUUUAUGCUUUGCUUUCUGUGAUUAGUGACCAAGGCCUGGCAUGAGACAAUUUUACUUAAUCAGCUGUAUGCAUUAAAUACCAGCAGCUGCAAUUAGACAUUCUUUUGUAUCACAUACUACGCUUCACGCUGCUAUUUGCUCCUGACCUUGGCAGGCACUUCUGCUGUGUUUGGAGAGGAGCACAGUGAAAUUCAGAAUUCUUUUUUUCACAGCCUGGAUGUUGGCAGAUGUGCACACACAUUCUUGCCCCACAGACCAAACAGAGCAACUUCAGAAGUGCAGCAGGAGUUCCUUUAAAACAGACUGGGAAGGAAAGGUGGGAAUGAACGAAACCUCUACCCCGUGCCUUAACACUUUUGAGUACGAUGUUGGUUUGCAAUGCUUACGUAUCACUUUGGACAUUACACAUUGGCACUGAGUACCUAAAACAAGAGACUUGAGCUUUCCAUUUGCUUUGCACAUCUGUUUUGUCGGGUCCUGUGCUCGUAGCAUCAUUUUUUCCCAGCUGCAGUAUCACAACUGGACACUAGAGAGCUCCUUUUACCAAAGACAUCUCUCCAACGUGAGGGCAGAGCCCUGUGAGAUAUUUGCUUGAGGGAAGAAAGUGAAUAUUGGUAGGAUCUUUUCAUGCAGCGUGGAGAAAUGGUAGCAGCAGCGUCACCUCCUCACAAAGGAAGCCCAACAAAUCCAUGUUAACCU